rnacentral:rRNA from 1 species
UGGGGAAUAUUGCACAAUGGGCGCAAGCCUGAUGCAGCAACGCCGCGUGAAGGAAGACGGUUUUCGGAUUGUAAACUUCUGUUCUUAGUGAAGAAUAAUGACGGUAGCUAAGGAGCAAGCCACGGCUAACUACGUGCCAGCAGCCGCGGUAAUACGUAGGUGGCAAGCGUUGUCCGGAAUUACUGGGUGUAAAGGGAGCGCAGGCGGGAAGACAAGUUGGAAGUGAAAUCCAUGGGCUUAACCCAUGAACUGCUUUCAAAACUGUUUUUCUUGAGUAGUGCAGAGGUAGGCGGAAUUCCCGGUGUAGCGGUGGAAUGCGUAGAUAUCGGGAGGAACACCAGUGGCGAAGGCGGCCUACUGGGCACCAACUGACGCUGAGGCUCGAAAGUGUGGGUAGCAAACAGGAUUAGAUACCCUGGUAGUCCACACCGUAAACGAUGAUUACUAGGUGUUGGAGGAUUGACCCCUUCAGUGCCGCAGUUAACACAAUAAGUAAUCCACCUGGGGAGUACGACCGCAAGGUUGAAACUCAAAGGAAUUGACGGGGGCCCGCACAAGCAGUGGAGUAUGUGGUUUAAUUCGACGCAACGCGAAGAACCUUACCAAGUCUUGACAUCCGUUGACCGCUGUAGAAAUACAGUUUUCCUUCGGGACAGCGAGACAGGUGGUGCAUGGUUGUCGUCAGCUCGUGUCGUGAGAUGUUGGGUUAAGUCCCGCAACGAGCGCAACCCUUAUGGUCAGUUACUACGCAAGAGGACUCUGGCCAGACUGCCGUUGACAAAACGGAGGAAGGUGGGGAUGACGUCAAAUCAUCAUGCCCUUUAUGACUUGGGCUACACACGUACUACAAUGGCGUUAAACAAAGAGAAGCAAGACCGCGAGGUGGAGCAAAACUCAGAAACAACGUCCCAGUUCGGACUGCAGGCUGCAACUCGCCUGCACGAAGUCGGAAUUGCUAGUAAUCGUGGAUCAGCAUGCCACGGUGAAUACGUUCCC